AGGACGAACGCUGGCGGCGUGCUUAACACAUGCAAGUCGAGCGGUAAGGCCUUUCGGGGUACACGAGCGGCGAACGGGUGAGUAACACGUGGGUGAUCUGCCCUGCACUUCGGGAUAAGCCUGGGAAACUGGGUCUAAUACCGGAUAUGACUUCAGGUUGCAUGACUUGGGGUGGAAAGAUUUAUCGGUGCAGGAUGGGCCCGCGGCCUAUCAGCUUGUUGGUGGGUAAUGGCCU
rnacentral:rRNA from 1 species